rnacentral:rRNA from 1 species
UACGUAGGGUGCAAGCGUUGUCCGGAAUUAUUGGGCGUAAAGAGCUCGUAGGCGGUUUGUCGCGUCUGCUGUGGAAACCCGAGGCUCAACCUCGGGCCUGCAGUGGGUACGGGCAGACUAGAGUGCGGUAGGGGAGAUUGGAAUUCCUGGUGUAGCGGUGAAAUGCGCAGAUAUCAGGAGGAACACCGAUGGCGAAGGCAGGUCUCUGGGCAUUAACUGACGCUGAGGAGCGAAAGCAUGGGGAGCGAACAGG